GACGAACGCUGGCGGCGUGCCUAAUACAUGCAAGUAGAACGCACAGUUUAUACCGUAGCUUGCUACACCAUAAACUGUGAGUUGCGAACGGGUGAGUAACGCGUAGGUAACCUGCCUGGUAGCGGGGGAUAACUAUUGGAAACGAUAGCUAAUACCGCAUAAUAUUGAUUAUUGCAUGAUAAUUGAUUGAAAGAUGCUAUUGCAUCACUACCAGAUGGACCUGCGUUGUAUUAGCUAGUAGGUGAGGUAACGGCUCACCUAGGCGACGAUACAUACCCGACCUGAGAGGGUGAUCGGCCACACUGGGACUGAGACACGGCCCAGACUCCUACGGGAGGCAGCAGUAGGGAAUCUUCGGCAAUGGACGAAAGUCUGACCGAGCAACGCCGCGUGAGUGAAGAAGGUUUUCGGAUCGUAAAGCUCUGUUGUAAGAGAAGAACGGGUGUGAGAGUGGAAAGUUCACACUGUGACGGUAUCUUACCAGAAAGGGACGGCUAACUACGUG
rnacentral:rRNA from 1 species